rfam:Oryza sativa Japonica Group DNA, chromosome 8, cultivar: Nipponbare, complete sequence.
AGGAUAAGAGGUAGCCGGGCUAGCCAAGGAGACUGCCUGUACAUAUAUAUGCAUGAGCCUGCAAGCAGCUUGAUCAAUCCAUCCAUUGAUCACACACACAUAUAUAUAUAAAUAUACAGGCAAGUCAUCCUUGGCUACCAGGACUCACUCUCAUCA